UACCAGCUCUCCGAGUUGUAGGGAUGAUUAUUGGGCUUAAAGCGUCCGUAGCUGGCUUAGCAAGUCUCCUGUUAAAUUCAGCGACCUAAUCGUUGAGCCGCGGGAGAUACUACUAGGCUAGGAGGCGGGAGAGGUCGACGGUACUUUCGGGGUAGGGGUGAAAUCCUAUAAUCCCGGGAGGACCACCAGUGGCGAAGGCUGUCGACUAGAACGCGCUCGACGGUGAGGGACGAAAGCUGGGGGGAGCGAACCGGAUUAGAUACCCGGGUAGUCCCAGCUGUAAACUAUGCGGGCUAGGUGUUGGGGUGGCUACGGGCCACUUCAGUGCCGCAGGAAAGCCAUUAAGCCCGCCGCCUGGGGAGUACGGCCGCAAGGCUGAAACCUAAAGGAAUUGGCGGGGGAGCACCACAAGGCGUGAAGCUUGCGGUUC
rnacentral:rRNA from 1 species